rnacentral:rRNA from 1 species
AACGUAGGACGCGAGCGUUAUCCGGAGUUACUGGGCGUAAAGGGUGGGCAGGCGGCCGUGUCAGAUGGGUGUGAAAUCUCCCGGCUCAACCGGGAGGGCCACUCGUGACUGCACGGCUGGAGGGCAGCAGAGGCGCGUGGAAUUCCGGGUGGAGUGGUGAAAUGCGUAGAGAUCCGGAGGAACACCAGAGGCGAAGGCGGCGCGCUGGGCUGGCAACUGACGCUGAACCACGAAAGCCAGGGUAGCGAACGGG